CACGUAGGGGGGCGAGCGUUUGUCCGGAUUUAUUGGGCGUAAAGAGCUCGUAGGCGGCUAAGUAAGUCGGGUGUGAAAAACUCCAGGCUCAACCUGGAGACGCCACCUGAUACUGCUUUGGCUAGAGUCCGGUAGGGGAGCAUGGAAUUCCUGGUGUAGCGGUGAAAUGCGUAGAUAUCGGGGAGGAACACCAGUGGCGAAAGCGGCGCGCUGGACCACUACUGACGCUGAGGAACGAAAGCUAGGGGAGCAAACAGG
rnacentral:rRNA from 1 species